rnacentral:rRNA from 1 species
GUCUGCAGCCAUACCACCUUCAACACGCCCGAUCCCAUCUGAUCUUGGAAGCUAGGCAGUGUUGGGCCUGGUUAGUACUUGGAUGGGAGAAAAAGUGAAGUAGCUAGCUAUAUUCU